GUAUGGAUUGUGAUAGGAAUUGUACAAGCUCACAGUGUCCCAUGCCAAAGCAAACUGUCACCCUGAACCAUUGCCUGGCUUUACCUGGUAGGCUUAAGGCACUGAAGUGGGUUGCACAGUU
rnacentral:snoRNA from 1 species